CCGUCCAGAUCUCCGACCCGAGAACCCGUCCGACAUCCCAGUACCCGCCAGGUGUACCACACUUAUCGUUAAACGAACGGAUCCAGCUUCGCCACGUGUCGCGGCGCAGCAUAAUUACCCCGCGGAUCCAACGGACCCCAACAACUCUUCUCCAAAAGUCUCGAACUUCAACGCAACGCAGCGCAGCCGCUCCUCCAGAGACCCCGG
rnacentral:lncRNA from 1 species